rnacentral:rRNA from 1 species
AGCGAACGCUGGCGGCAGGCCUAACACAUGCAAGUCGAACGAACCUUUCGGGGUUAGUGGCGGACGGGUUUGUAACACGUGGGAACGUUCCUUUAGGGUCGGAAUAACUCAGGGAAACUUGUGCUAAUACCGAAUGUGCCCUUCGGGGGAAAGAUUUAUCGCCUUUAGAGCGUCCCGCGUCUGAUUAGCUAGUUGGGUGAGGUAAUGGCUCACCAAGGCGACGAUCAGUAGCUGGUCUGAGAGGAUGAUCAGCCACAUUGGGACUGAGACACGGCCCAAACUCCUACGGGAGGCAGCAGUGGGGAAUCUUGCGAAAUGGGGGAAAGCCUGACGCAGCCAUGCCGCGUGAAUGAUGAAGGUCUUAGGAUUGUAAAAUUCUUUCAACGGGGACGAUAAUGACGGUACCCGGAGAAGAAGCCCCGGCUAACUUCGUG